AUUGAACGCUGGCGGCAGGCCUAACACAUGCAAGUCGAGCGGUAGAGAGGUGCUUGCAUCUCUUGAGAGCGGCGGACGGGUGAGUAAUGCCUAGGAAUCUGCCUAGUGGUGGGGGAUAACGUUCGGAAACGGACGCUAAUACCGCAUACGUCCUACGGGAGAAAGCGGGGGAUCUUCGGACCUCGCGCCAUUAGAUGAGCCUAGGUCGGAUUAGCUAGUUGGUGAGGUAAUGGCUCACCAAGGCGACGAUCCGUAACUGGUCUGAGAGGAUGAUCAGUCACACUGGAACUGAGACACGGUCCAGACUCCUACGGGAGGCAGCAGUGGGGAAUAUUGGACAAUGGGCGAAAGCCUGAUCCAGCCAUGCCGCGUGUGUGAAGAAGGUCUUCGGAUUGUAAAGCACUUUAAGUUGGGAGGAAGGGUAGUAACCUAAUACAGUUUGCUAAUGACGGUACCGUAAGAAUAAG
rnacentral:rRNA from 1 species